rnacentral:rRNA from 1 species
AUUGAACGCUGGCGGCCGGCCUAACACAUGCAAGUCGAACGAGUGGCGGACGGGUGAGUAAUGUCUGGGAAACUGCCUGAUGGAGGGGGAUAACUACUGGAAACGGUAGCUAAUCCCGCAUACCAUCGGAUGUGCCCCGAUGGGAUUAGCUAGUAGGUGGGGUAAAGGCUCAACUCGGCGACGAUCCCUAGCUGCUCUGAGAGGAGGACAAGCCAAACUGGAAAUGAGACACGGGCCAGACUCCGACGGGAGGCAGCAGUGGGGAAGAGUGCACAAGGGGCGAAAGCCUGAUGCAGCCAUGCCGCGUGUAUGAAGAAGGCCUUCGGGUUGUAAAGGACGUUCAGCGGGGAGGCGUUACCCGCAGAAGAAGCACCGGCUAACUCCGUGCCAGCCGCCGCGGUAAUAC